UCGGAAGUGGUGAAGCUGUUAUAAGUGCGCACCUUAACUUCUAUUGCCGUCUUGCUGACCCUGAGUUUCGUUUGCAGAGCCGUACAACACCAAUUCCAUGUAUUGAGCCGUUGCUUAUAACUCACGUCGCAUCAAACCAUAAUUUGGCGGCAGAUUGUGAAAAAGUUUUUAAUUUUGGCCAAGCUGAAUAUCUUGUUGCCUGUCAGAGCCACCAUUUGAGAAAUCCGUGGCGAAAUGUCUGGGUAAUCAGUAAUGGCCAUUGGAAUUUGAAUUCAGAAGAAAACAAUAAAAUAAAGGAAAUCAGGCGCAGAGUAUGGGAUGUCCAAAUAGUUUACAGAUAGUGUACAGAACAGAAUAAAAAACCAACGAAACAUAUAAAUUCUAAAUUUGUUAGUUCAAAUAAAAGUUGUUAUCGUCUUAACUGAAAAUAAAACCGUUUUAUUGUUCAACACUUAAA